rnacentral:ncRNA from 1 species
GCUAGAGGUCGCAAAUUUCAAGAGUAGGGCAGGCGAGGUUCCGCAAACCGUUUGGAGUCUGUGCAAAGCGAAAGGGGAAUUUGCCGAAGGGUUUUGCGUUCCCAACGGGAACGGCGGAAAGCAAUGCCCUGAGUGUAUGCUGAAUAAGCAUGCAAUUGUCAUCUUAUUGGAAGAUGGAGAGCUACCGC